rnacentral:lncRNA from 1 species
CGCGAACGCGCGUUUCUUUUGGCGCCACGACUUCGAAUCGUGGCCGAAGCUUCGAAGCGGUUCGUCGCGCGAUGGAAAAAUCAACCGCUUGCUCGACAAACUUUUUCACCCAUAUCCCGCGUACAACAGAUUCGUCGUUUUCUUUUCGUUCACCGAGAACCGACGAUACCAUCGAUGGACUUUCCGUGGUUGGCCGAGACGCGUCUCGUUCAAAAAUAUCUUUGAAAAUUACGUAACGUCGGAUCGCGAGCCGCUCUCCGCUAGCCGUUCCGUCGACUUUACGCUUAUCUCGUGAAUCGCGCCGCUUCGAUAAUACGAGAUACGAAAUUCUUCGUGCGCGUUAUCUCUCCACGUGAAAAAAUCGCGUAAUCGCGAUGGCGUCACGAACCCGCGAGCCUCGUGCGGGUUUCGCGAGCCAACCAACAACACAAUACGGAUGUUUCGACAGACGAAUUCCUUUUCGAUUUCCUUAUCGCGUCGAGAAAAGCGCGCGACGAAAAAUGUUCGUCGUCGCGAACGCGUUCUCGCGUCGCGUACGUUUAACGAGAGAGACUCGUUUCGCGAUUAACGACAAGGUCGCAACUUCGUUAGAACGAAAUUCCAGCGUGGCUCGUUACGCGACCGAGCAUUCCCGACGAUUCUCUCGUUCGUUUCUCUUCGAUCGUACGAAUAUUUAUCGUUAUCAGCGACGAGAUAUUCGCGAUUCUAGAGAGCGGCAAUUUUCGCGUUAACCGCGCGGUCGAAUCGCCAACAAAAAUAGAGAUACGUGAUGCGCUAUAAAUAGAAAUAGGAAAGAUUUCGCGUGCCAAAAAUUCUCGAAUCGCGUGCAUCGGUGCACACGCGGUCGCGAGAUCGAGCGAUCGAAUCGACGCGACGCGGGGAGUUCGGCGCUUAAUUCCCCGUGACGAGCGCGAUCCAUCUCGCGUCGGUUGCGUAAAUGGUUCGCAACUUUCAACCGAGAAUCGUGACGAAGCGCAUUUUUUGCCGUUCGAGAAAUUACUUAAACCCCGCGAUACGCUAUCGAGUCAUCGAUUGUUCGUUGCGUAAUCUUUUUCGAACACGGUCAUAUACACGGUUCUCGGCAUUAUCCGGGAGGGGAUAGUCCUCUGGCCGUAGCGCUAAACUUUCUCUAUUUGGCCAUUCCGACGGCGCUUUAUAUGAUCGAAGAUUCGUUUCUUUCGUUUUACCAGUUUGCGCGUCGUAUCGAUUAGACAACGUUCGAAAUAUUUUCGGUACUGCCACGUACAGAAAAAGAAAAUCGGAAGCCUACAAUAUCGUGCACUCGAGCUCCCUAUCGCGCUCCGAAUUUCAACCACGACGCGUCGAGAAGGUAGGAAACGACGUUACGCGAUUGAUACCGUGCCACGAUAAGCUGAUGCGUUCUACAGUACCAACGACGAUUGGACGACGGAUCGUUACCGUUGGCCGAGCAGCCGAUACCGAUAGCGCAAAGCAUCUCCGUCGGUAACGUAUAAUUCUUAUCGAAAUUCGAACGGUACGAUCGGUAUCGGCGUUUACCGACGUCGUCGUUCGAAUUCCGAAACGUCCCGACGCGAGAUUUACGCGAACGUAUCGCGUAAACGAACUCGGCGACGUUUCUCGCUGGCACGACCUCGAUGCCAGCCUCGAUGUCGGUUCUGCACGGAUCGACUAUGCUACCGGCAAAUACGCUUGUAUCCGUGUUCUUCAAUAGGAAACGUCGAGCCCCUAAACGUAUUAUUCACUUGACAAAGUGGAAAAUAACGUCCGCCUCGUCCGAGACUCGGCAGCCACGAUCGAAGACAUCCUCGACCGGGUUGGGGGACCGGGAAAGAUCCGACCAGGAGUCGCGAGAUCGUUCCGUUUUCGCGAACUUUCGCGCGAUUCGUGUCAAGGUGAACACGGUUUUCGCGAGUUCCUAGUACGCGAUAUCGCCUUAUUCGGUUCACCUUUGCGUGAAUCGGCUUUAGGCGUCUCGGUUUCGGAAAACGAAACUUUCUACUUUCGCGCGUUCGGGCCUCGUCGCUCGCGUCACGGUUAGCAUUCCUAAUGGGUCGAGGAACGACGGACAGUGUCGAAAUUCCAAACGACAGAAAUCUUGAUUCUAAGCUACGUUCGUACACGUAUCGCGAUCGCGUCUCGUUCGAAUUCCACGAUGGUUCGGCUCACCGAUCGUUUCCGCCUGCUCGUUCGUUUCUUAUUAUAUGUAUAGGCGCGUGUUGUUCGUUCGGUUCGCUAGACGUCUGUCGCGAAUAGAAAAAGGCGAGCGCGCGCCGCGUUAUGCGUUAUUCAACAACGAGGACGCGAAACGUUUGAAAAGGACUUUUCCUCGUAGUCCCGCGACUUUUAGCCUCGAACGAGGCACUCCUGGUAGUCGAGAUUACUCGUAGUUCGAACGAAUCGAUCGAAUACCGCCGCGGCGACGAGCGUUCUCGCAACGGGAAUAGGGAAAAAAUUUGAGCGUACGAGUCGAAACAAGGUCGACCCACGAUCGAACGACCAGUUCACCACAUAUUUACGGAGCACCUACGCUCGCUGCGGACCAACGUUGGUACCAGCACCAGUUUUUUUUUCCCUCUUUUUCGCGGUUAAUCGAACGAGUUCCCAGACAGCGUUACGCGUUCGUUCCGGUUCUCGUUAUCCUAGCCGUUCGAAAGUUGCCGCCGCGUUCUCGAGCGACCGCGUAUCGCGUAUCCUCGCGCGCCAACUUUUUCCUUCGGGAACGCGUUAUCGUUCGACGAACUGCUCGCGAACGCGUAGCACGCGUGUCCAGGACGCGAAACGGCUAACGGACAAGAAAAGAAAUCGAAACAAAGACGAGGUAUCGUAUUUUCGACCGCUUACGUAACCGUACACGAAAAGAAAUAUUCGAUAAGAUAGAUAACUGUUAAGAAACUGCCGUGGUUCUCGAUCAAAAUUCGAUGAAACAUUGAUCAAUGAAAAACACGUGUUGCACGCGAGAGCAAUUUUUAUCGACAGUCUUCACGGUAACAAUCGUUCGUUUGUUCGUUUCGCGGAGUAACUUACAAAAGGCUCUCCGACCCCGUGUGUCUUACCGAUCGCGGAAACGGCCAAAUCGACGAAAUUUCUUUAAUGCCUAUUAACGCGGUAAUUAUUCAAGGUUACGCGUUCUUUGUUAAACGGUUUACGUACAAUGUCGAGCAACAAGUUUAAACGAUCUUUGUUUAAACUUGAUUGUCGCGUUGAAAAUUGGUUGUAUUCUGUUAGAAAUGUGCAAGCGAAAAUAACGCGAUAACACACCGACGUAAAGUAAUAUGCAUUAUAAAAAAUGUUCUUUAUCGGCGGUAAUCACGACGUUCCGUCGUGCUUUCCCAAAAUGUGGCAGAUCUGCAACGUUAUAUUCUUUUCGCCGCAAACACGUUGGUUCGAUAAAACAUUUGUACGAAGAAAAGGGGUACGUAAAGAAUAAAAGUUCAUUUCGAGUUUAUCGUUAAAAGUUGUUCCAUACCGAACUCUUCUUUAUGGGGAGGCCAAAGAUAAAGAGCGUCUAUCUAUUUAAAAAUAUUUGUUUGUCGUUAUUCGCUCGUUAACGUUACAGGCAAGAAUUUAAAAUUAGAUGUUUGUUAAAGAAAGAAAAAAAAA